rnacentral:misc_RNA from 1 species
UUGUGGAGGAGGACGCCGAAGGUGGGGCUAAUGACUGGGGUGAAGUCGUAACAAGGUAGCCGUACCGGAAGGUGCGGCUGGAUCACCUCCUAACAGGGAGACAACAAAAUGUUUAAUAUUAUUAUUUUGUCACCUUAGGUCGAUCGGUAUCUCACGUUCUUAAUUUGUUAAGAAUUUCAUUUCCUAAGUUUUUCUAGGUCACACCCAUUAUUUUUCCUGGGCCAUUAGCUCAGGUGGUUAGAGCGCACCCCUGAUAAGGGUGAGGUCCCUGGUUCAAGUCCAGGAUGGCCCAUAUCUCUAUGUUGGGGGUAUAGCUCAGUUGGUAGAGCGCCUGCUUUGCAAGCAGGAUGUCAGCGGUUCGAGUCCGCUUACCUCCACUGAUUACCACCUCUUCCAUAACUGGUAAAAAGGAAAUGUUUUGAGUUGUGAUUAUUAUUCUGAACGAAUCUAGCUUCCUAAUGAAAUCAUUAAGAUGCUGGACUCAUUGAAUUAAUUUCAUUGUUUUCAGAGAACCUUGACAACUGCAUAGAUUUUUUUAAAGACAAUAAGCAUCUUUAAUGAUGCAGAUUUAUUAUUUGUGCGAAUGCAUUAAUAACAAUUCUAUUAAGCUGAUGCUUCAAUUUUGAAGUUAUUGGUCAAGCUACAA